UACGAAGGGGGCUAGCGUUGCUCGGAAUCACUGGGCGUAAAGGGUGCGUAGGCGGUGCUCUAAGUUCGGUGUGAAAUCUCCUGGCUUAACUGGGAGGGUGCGCCGGAAACUGGAGUGCUUGAGCGUGGGAGAGGAAAGCGGAAUUCCUGGUGUAGCGGUGAAAUGCGUAGAUAUCAGGAGGAACACCUGUGGUGUAGACGGCUUUCUGGACCAUAGCUGACGCUGAGACACGAAAGCGUGGGUAGCAAACAGG
rnacentral:rRNA from 1 species